UGUAGUGACUAAUGGAUUUUUGGACUGUUGUCUCCUAACCAAAUAUUUUGUAAUCAUUUGACUGAUGCUAUGUCAUAUGCUAUCACUAUUUUGAGUACAUUGUGUGGUGCAAUGUUUUAAUAUCUGAUUUGUUUCAACAACACAACGCUUCCAUUCCAUGUACACAAUCGAACCAACCUCUAUUGGUCUCCAGCAAGUUAUAAAUGUUUGACAGUAUUUCCUGUUUCCAUUAUAGAAAAGGAAUUAAUUUACGUUGGGGUUAAGAAAGACACGAGAAAGAAAGUUAUUUAUCAGCUAGAUGAAAUAACAGAAAUUCGUCAUCAAUACCACUCUAACUCCAUGGGUGGACAGAGUGGAAUCAACAACACACUUGCUAAAGUCUCCAAGUUCUACACAUGGAAUGGCAUAAAGGAAGAUGUCAUUGAAUAUUGUGAAUCUUGUGAUCGCUGUCAGAUGUACGACAGACUAAAAGACACAGGCUCCAGAGUUGAAGCCUAGUAGGGUAAAGGCGCCUCAAGAACUGGUUGGGAUGGAUCUUAUUGGACCACUACCAACAACUGAUGCUGGGUUUAGGUACAUUCUUACCUUUACAGACUGCUACACAAAAUUUGUGGAUUUCUACUCAUUGAUGGAUAAGACUGCUAAUGGUGUGGUACAGAGAAUUAGAACUUUUGUAUGCAGAUGGGUGCUCCCAAAAGAUUUCUUUCUGAUCAGGGGAGAGAGUUUGUUUCACAAAUCAUGACAAGCUAUGCAGGCUUUCUUAUGCAUGCUCAUUGUUUUGGGCAUAGCAUAUGGAUUGAUGGAAGACUUGGCAUUGGGUAGAAGGAAUGUUAUACAGAAUUCUUUCACCUCAUAACUACAUUUUCUUGUCCAUUAAGUUUGUCCUAUGAUGUAAAAUAUUUUGCAUGUAUUUUCAGGUCAACACAGAGUUUUGCAGGAGGUUUAACAUCAAGCGGUCGUUGACAAGUGCAUACCAUCCCCAGAGUAAUGGCUUGAGCGCAUCCAAUUUGCGACUGCAUGUCCAGUGCACCCUCCCCGGAGACCUUGCCGCUUGCAGUGCAGGAAGCCUGCUCCUCUUUGUUAACUAGAACAUCAACAAGAUUUCUUGCUAAUUCAAUACCGUCCUUCGCU